rnacentral:rRNA from 1 species
AGACUUUUAAAGUCUCUGAAGGGCCGUUGAAGACUACAACGUUGAUAGGCAAGAUGUGGAAGUGGUGUGAGCCAUUAAGCUAACUUGUACUAAUUACCCGUGAGGCUUAACCAUACAACGCCAAACGUGUUU